rnacentral:misc_RNA from 1 species
GAUGAAGAACGCAGCGAACGUGCGAAACGUAAUGUGAAUUGCAGAAUUCAGUGAAUCAUCGAAUCUUUGAACGCAUCUUGCGCUCCUUGGUAUUCCGAGGAGCAUGCCUGUUUGAGUGUCGUGAAUACUCUCAACUUCAACCCUUUUUUCGGAAAGGGAGGAAGGUUGGACUUGGGUGUUUGUUGAAGUGCGAGCUUCGACUCAUCCUAAAUGCAUUAGCGAUCUGCCUCGAUCACACACAAUGUGAUAAUUAAAACUAAAGCAUUGUUUAAUGAUCAAGUCGAGACUGCUUCUAACUGUCGAAAGACAAUAACGUGCAUACAUUUGUGCAUGUCAUUUGACCUCAAAUCAGGUAGGACUACCCGCUGAACUUAAGCAUAUCAAUAAGCGGAGGA